CCUACGGGUGGCAGCAGUGGGGACUAUUGGGCAAUGGACGCAAGUCUGACCCAGCAACGCCGCGUGAAGGAAGAAGGCUUUCGGGUUGUAAACUUCUUUUAAGGGGGAAGAGCAGAAGACGGUACCCCUUGAAUAAGCCACGGCUAACUCCGUGCCAGCAGCCGCGGUAAUACGUAGGUGGCAAGUGUUGUCCGGAUUUACUGGGUGUAAAGGGCGUGCAGCCGGAGAGACAAGUCAGAUGUGAAAUCCGCAGGCUCAACCUGCGAACUGCAUUUGAAACUGUUUCCCUUGAGUAUCGGAGAGGUCAUCGGAAUGCCUAGUGUAGCGGUGAAAUGCGUAGAUAUCACGCAGAACUCCGAUUGCGAAGGCAGCAUACCGGCGCCCAACUGACGCUCAGGCACGAAAGCGUGGGUAUCGAACAGGAUUAGAUACCCGGGUAGUC
rnacentral:rRNA from 1 species